UCUAUUUUGGCAGAUAAGUGCGCUGGAUUUAGGAUCCAUUUAUGUGAGUUUUUACUUACAAAUAGAA
rnacentral:tRNA from 1 species